rnacentral:rRNA from 1 species
AUGAUAAUGGGCGUGGGGCGUGCAACAAGAAGGAUGCAAGGCAGGAGUUCCAUGUCGGUCUUGCUGGUGUCGUUGCUGCUGCUGGCGGCGGCGGCCGGUGUUUCCAGCCGAGCCACGUACACGGGCAGCAGCACCGCAGGUGCCGGUGCAAGUGUGACGACGACGGCGCCGCCGAAGAAGCAUGUUGAUGGGAAGAAGCAGCAGGUGCCGGCGCUGGUGGUGUUCGGCGACUCGAUCGUCGACCCGGGCAACAACAACGCCAUCAGCACCAUCGUCAAGGCCAACUUCGCGCCCUACGGCCACGACUUCGGCGCCGACCACCGCCCCACGGGCCGCUUCUGCAACGGCAGGAUCCCCACCGACUUCAUCGCCUCCAGGCUCGGCCUCAAGCAGCUCCUCCCGGCGUACCUGGCCCCGAACCUGACGACGCACGACCUGCUCACCGGCGUCAGCUUCGCGUCGGGCGGCACGGGGUACGACCCGCUCACGGCGCAGCUCGCCUCCGUCAUCUCCAUGACGGACCAGCUCCGCAUGUUCCACGAGUACAAGGCCAGGGUCCGCGCCGCGGCCGGCGACGCCGCGCUCUCGGAGAUCCUCGCCAGGGGCGUGUUCGCGGUGUGCGCCGGCAGCGACGACGUGGCCAACACCUACUUCACCAUGCGCGCGCGGAGCUCCUACUCGCACGCCUCCUACGCGUCGCUCAUGGUCGCCCACGCCACCGCCUUCCUCGACGGCCUGCUGGCCGCGGGCGCCCGCCGCGUCGCCGUCAUCUCCAUGCCGCCCAUCGGGUGCGUGCCCUCCCAGCGCACGCUCUCGGGCGGCAUGGGGCGCGAGUGCUCCCCGGACCACAACGAGAUCGCGGAGCUGGUGAACUCGGGAAUGGGCACCGCCGUCGACACCCUCAAGGCGAAGUACCCGGGGGCGAGGGUGAUGCUGGUGGACAUCUACGGGUACCUGCUGGACAUGAUGGUGCGGCCGGACGGGUACGGGUUCAGGGAGUCCACGCUGGGCUGCUGCGGCACGGGCAUGAUGGAGGUCGCCGUGCUGUGCAACGGCGUCACGUCGGCGGUGUGCGGGGACGUGGAGGAGUACUUGUUCUGGGACAGCUACCACCCCACCGAGAAGGCCUACAGGAUCCUCGUCGACUACGUCUACGACAACUACCUCAAGGAGCUCAUCGCCUAG